CACGUUGAUCCUAAUGAUGUGCCACUAUCUACAUUAAUUGAGCAAAACAAUGAUGCGACUGAUGUGAAUUUUGUCGCUAGAAAUAGUUUCAACAACAAUGCUUAUACAGGGAAUUUCAAUUCUAGACCGUAUACUGGUGAUCCCUCUAAUAAUUAUGGUAAUUCCUAUUAUAAUUCAUAUAAUAAUAAUACGAUACCUACUGAACUUGAGAAUAACAUUAAAGAAUUUAUUAGUUCUCAAAACAUUUUCAAUGCCAUGGUAGAAGAAAACCUACAUAAAGUUGAUAAUAUGGCUAGAAACAUGGAUAUAAUUGCUCAUGAUGUGGAAACUCUUAAAAUUAAAAUUAUGCCACAUAAAAUUUGA
rnacentral:rRNA from 1 species